UCCGUGCCAGCAGCCGCGGUAAUACGGAGGGUGCGAGCGUUAAUCGGGAAUUACUGGGCGUAAAGCGCAUGCAGGUGGUUUGUUAAGUCAGAUGUGAAAGCCCCGGGGCUCAACCUCGGAAUUGACAUUUGAAACUGGCAAACUAGAGUACUGGUAGAGGGGGUAGAAUUUCAGGUGUAGCGGUGAAAUGCGUAGAGAUCUGAAGGAAUACCGGUGGCGAAGGCGGCCCCCUGGACAGAUACUGACACUCAGAUGCGAAAGCGUGGGGAGCAAACAGGAUUAGAUACCCUGGUAG
rnacentral:rRNA from 1 species